ensembl:lncRNA
UGUCACUCCAAAGAGAGCUGACUCGACCACUUUGGACUUAUAAAUAAGUUUGUACUGCCAUCGUUGUCGUCAUCGCCGUGGACACCGUUGUCAAGAGAACAACAACCCACCACUACUGAAGAUCAGUGACUGAACUAUGAACCACGCUGGACCCAUGGUGGUGACUAUCUCCCUCUUGCCUCCUAUAGAGACUCCUUGCUUCUAUUUCCUAUCUUCUCUGCUGCCCUUCUCCUCUUCCCCAUCACUCUAAUUUGUACCUAUAAAGACUCCUUGCUUCUAUUUCCUAUCUUUUCUAUCACUCGCUUUCCCUUCCCCAUCACCCCAAUCUGUAAUAGUGUCCGUCCUCCCUUUCCCCAUCUCCCUUAUUAAAAUUUGUAAUAAACUGGUCGGACCAACAUUUGAACCGUUGUUUCUUAAUCUCACGACAGGCAUACAUAUUUCAAAGAACCUCCUCUCCCUCCUAUAAAUUGGAGCGAGGCAGAGGGACUUUAAAGUUUUGUUUUGUUCUCAUUGAAUAUAUUUGACCACCUAGUCUCUUCAGGGAAAGAUUUUGAAGGAAUAAGAAUAAGGAUAAAUCAACAUAUAUUUCCUUAUCGCAGAUAGCCAUAGUUGUUAGAGAAUUGACACUGUUGUUGCUAAACUUACAAUGGUGUAUGUUCUGAUCUGGUGCAAUGCCAUUCCCAGAAUGUUUUAGACCUUCAUUACAGUUAUCUCUGUAGGGGUAUGUAGAAAGUGAGUGUCUGCUCCUUUAAGAGUAUCUGGUCAGAGAUAAUAAGAAAGGUAUGCAGUAAUGGGAACGAAACCUGGGCAGUUUUACUAAUUGAUAAAGAAAGAGAUGAAAUCUGUGAAUAUUGAUUUAAGCAAGGUUGUC